GCACAACGCGAAGAACCUUACCCACCUUUGACAUGUACGGAAUCCUUUAGAGAUAGAGGAGUGCUCGAAAGAGAGCCGUAACACAGGUGCUGCAUGGCUGUCGUCAGCUCGUGUCGUGAGAUGUUGGGUUAAGUCCCGCAACGAGCGCAACCCUUGCCAUUAGUUGCUACAUUUAGUUGAGCACUCUAAUGGGACUGCCGGUGACAAACCGGAGGAAGGUGGGGAUGAUGUCAAGUCCUCAUGGCCCUUAUAGGUGGGGCUAUACACGUCAUACAAUGGCUGGUACAAAGGGUUGCCAACCCGCGAGGGGGAGCUAAUCCCAUAAAGCCAGUCGUAGUCCGGAUCGCAGUCUGCAACUCGACUGCGUGAAGUCGGAAUCGCUAGUAAUCGUGGAUCAGAAUGUCACGGUGAAUACGUUCCCGGGUCUUGUACACACCG
rnacentral:rRNA from 1 species